UACGUAGGGUGCGAGCGUUGCCCGGAAUUAUUGGGCGUAAAGAGCUUGUAGGCGGUCUGUCGCGUCUGCUGUGAAAAUCCGGGGCUCAACCCCGGACUUGCAGUGGGUACGGGCAGACUAGAGUGUGGUAGGGGAGACUGGAAUUCCUGGUGUAGCGGUGAAAUGCGCAGAUAUCAGGAGGAACACCGAUGGCGAAGGCAGGUCUCUGGGCCACUACUGACGCUGAGAAGCGAAAGCAUGGGGAACGAACAGG
rnacentral:rRNA from 1 species